ensembl:lncRNA
AGUUAAGCAUAUCAAUCUUCUCCAACAUCGAUCAUUUUUUUGUGAUAAAAGCCUUUAAAAUCUUUGAAGAUUUUUGAGAUGUACAGAAUGAUAUUGCUAUCUAUAGUCAUCCAACUAGGCAAAUAACAUAUUGGUAUUAGGCAUUUUCAAAGUAUUUAUUUUUAGCCAUUCUCUUUGGUAUAUAGUAGCUAAAUAAAGAGAAUUAGAUUUGAUUAAAUUGCAGUUUGUGACAGUGUACUUAUUUCCAGUCAAAACCAGAUUUUUAUGUUAUCCACUUUUUAAAUGUGGCACCCCAGAUGGCUAAUUAAAGUAAAUUUCUCUGAGGCAUUUGCUCUCCCAAAGUUGUCUCUUAUCUGCUCCAGCAAAGACUUCCCUGUUUGUCCUAUCAACCUAGGUCUUUAAAUUCCAAGAUAAGAUCAGUUAAUGAAGUCUGUGCAAAGCUUCACUUUGGCCUAUCUUGUUCCUUUUUUUUGCCUAAGCAUAUGAGGACCUUGGAAUACAUCUAUUAGUUAUCAGUAAGUAGUCCUUGGAUUAAAAGAUAUUUUGAAUAUAGAGGUGGCAUCCACUGAAGAUCUUGGAAGAACUCUGUCAAAUACUUAACUGGGAUGCCAUCUGAGUUGGGGUGUUCUGCAGAUAUUUUUGAGGAGUAAAAAGGGAGAUACACUUAUUUUAUAUCUUCAACCAUCUUUUCUCACCAAGUUAUAUGAAUGAUGUUGGCUGGAUCUUUGAUGGGUACUAUGUGAAACUGUUCAACAGACUGCAGCAAGUUUACAUGCAGCAACUACAAGCAAUGGAGGAUGUAAAAUUUGGACAAUCAAGUGAAGUUUUACAUUACAAUUUUUUUUUUGUUCACUGAAUUACUUAAACUUUGUACUUCGCACAAAGCCACUGAUGGCCGGUGUGAACUCCAGAAAUCAGAUUUCAUCACUUGAAUCUGUUUCACUUAACUUUACCUCUUCUGAACUGUUAGUUUGAGCAAGGGUUCAUGGGUUUUUCUAAAAGAUCAUUUUAGCAGAAAAAUAAAGCAAAUUUGUUGAACCUCAUUCCAUGAUUUGAGUUUUGCCUUAGGGGUCACUU